rnacentral:rRNA from 1 species
AGGGUUUGAUCAUGGCUCAGAAUGAACGUUGGCGGCGUGGAUUAGGCAUGCAAGUCGAGCGAGAACCGGAGCAAUCCGGGGAAAGCGGCAAACGGGGUAGUAAUGCAUCGGUACGUGCCCUCGGGUCGGGGAUAGCCAGGGGAAACCCUGAUUAAUACCCGAUAAUCUCGAGAGAGCAAAGGUUUACUGCCGGAGGAGCGGCCGAUGUGGCAUCAGGUCGUUGGCGGGGUAACGGCCCACCAAGCCUUAGACGCCUAGGGGGCGUGAGAGCGCGACCCCCACCACUGGGACUGAGAUACUGCCCAGACACCUACGGGUGGCUGCAGUCGAGAAUCUUCCGCAAUGGGCGAAAGCCUGACGGAGCGACGCCGCGUGCGGGAUGAAGGCCCUUGGGUUGUAAACCGCUGUCAGGGGGGAUGAAAGCGCAAGCUUGACAGAGCCCCAGAGGAAGCACGGGCUAAGUUCGUGCCAGCAGCCGCGGUAAGACGAACUGUGCGAACGUUAUUCGGAAUCACUGGGCUUACAGGGUGCGUAGGCGGCCAGGUAAGUAGGGUGUGAAAUCCCCCGGCCCAACCGGGGAACUGCGCUCUAAACUACCUGGCUUGAGUGAGCUAGGGGUCCACGGAACUUCCAGUGGAGCGGUAAAAUGUGUUGAUAUUGGAAGGAACACCGGAGGCGAAAGCGGUGGACUGGGGCUUAACUGACGCUGAGGCACGAAAGCCAGGGGAGCGAACGGGAUUAGAUACCCCGGUAGUCCUGGCCGUAAACGAUGAGCACUGGGCGGGAGGAGGUUCGCCUUCUCCGGCC